GAGACUCAGGGGUGAGCUGAAAUGAGAAUUCACAAUAGAAUAAAAAAUGGCUAUUGACAGUUGAAAAGAAAAAGGAAUGAAAAUUGAAAAUGGCUCAGGAAAAUGGUGUUUCGUGGAAAAUGAGCGUCUGGCGGGAUUCACUGAGAAGAGGGGUAUAAAAGGCUGCGAGCAUAAGAAAAGCCAAAGUUAAGAAUAAGACGUUACCGGUGAAACUUAGCUAGAGAGCAGUGAAGAAGUGGAAAAAUUUAAUUUGUGUGUUGCGAUUUUUUUAUUGUGAAUAUUCCGGUGGUGUAUCAAGCUUUUUUGGAAGCACCGAAAAUUGUCCGGUUUUGGUCAGCACAACGGCGGGAAAUUGCCUUUUCUUUUUGGUAACGCAAGGUAGUGGCAAGUUGUCCACAGGAAAAAAAAAGCCAAAAAAAGUUACAUUGAGGGUGUGGAGAUUUGAAUUGUAAACUGGCCAGCUGCAACUUUGAGCUUUUUGCUGUGCCUGUUAUUGAUCCCGCCCAGAACGCCGGCAUUGUAAAAGGACCAGUCAACAAGUCCAGCUUCAUUUGAGGGUUUGUCUGGCGUUCAAAAUCUGUUUCCUCCGGAAAGAAGCGUAAACUGGAAGAAGAGAUAAGAAGAAUUAAUCAAUAACGUUAUAAAUCACUGCUCAGGUAAAAGGUGUCUUACCGUUGUGUUGUCCUUGAUAGAUAUAUUUAUAUAUAUAUGUGACGUCCAUAAAAUUUGCUGUCUCCUUUUUUGGAACUAAAAGAAAAGAAAAAAAGAGUUAAUAAUCAUAAAUUUCGAGAAAAAAAAUAUAAUAUUCAGUAUAAAGAUUUAGUAAUAAGAUAGGUUAUAGUUCUUAGGAUUUAAGUAAUAAUCAGUUUGUAAGGGAAAAAUACCGCGUUUAUUUUCAAAGGCUAGGAGGUGUUACAGUAAAAUUAUCUUGAGUCCUUGUGAUUCGAUCUGAUAGUUUAGGCCGUGGAAUUUUAGCGGCAAUUAGGCCGGUUAAGAGAGCUCUUUUAGGUGGCUAGUAAUUUCGUAUAGACGCGUGAAUAUUGCGCGGGAAAAGCAAGGCAAAGGAUAAUAUAUUGGUUUCUACCGAGUAAUUAAAGCCAUAGAUUUAAGAAAGCCCGGUAUUAUUCUUAAUUUGUUUUUUUUAUACCAUACAGUUUGUCAAUUUUAGUGUAAGAAAAAAAAUAGUAGAGAAAAAAAUUAAGAAAAUAUUUAAAGCUAACUUAUUUUUUUUAAUAAAAUUAAAAAUGAUUCUUUUGUAAACAGUA